rnacentral:lncRNA from 1 species
GGAUGUCAUAUUGUUAUAAUUCAAAAUUAAAUUUGUGUUGUUUAUAGUUAUUUUCUGAGAUAUCGAAAUUUCAGUGACAGUCAUGAAGUAGCUAAAAUGCCAAAAAAAUAUGGUAUGAUUAACAACGAGACAACUUUCCACAAGAGACCAACAUGACUCAGAUAUUAACAAAAAUAGGUCACCGUACGGCCUUCAACAAUGAGCAAAGACCAUACGGCAUAGACAGCUAUAAAAGGCUCCGAAAUGACAAUGUAAAACACUUUAGACGAGAAAACUAACGGCAUUAUUUAUUAAAAAAAACUAAAUUUUAUGAUAUACUAGUAUGUAGAUAUAGGAAGAUGUGGUGUGAGUGCCAAUGAGACAUGCAACUCUCUAUCCAAAUAACAAUUUAUAAAAAGGUAAACCAUUAUAGGUCAAUGUACGGCCUUCAACACGGAGCCUUGGCUCACACCGAACAACAAGCUAUAAAGGGCCCCAAAAUUACUAGUGUAAAAAAACAAUAGCAUAACAUCACAACAUAGAAAAACACACGUUAAAAUAUCAAUUGGCAGACUUAACUCAAUCAAAAAACAUAAAUUAAUACACAUAUGUAGCUGUUUUCCUAAGAACUGUUA